GAAUGAGGACUUUGUCGUCAUCGAAUAAACACAGAAAGAAGUAGACGAGGAACGUGAAUGCGUGCGUGAGCAGAGACACGUAUGCCGAUAGACAUUGUGUUAAAAAGAAAAACGAAAUUGCCGCUGCACCUAACGGAAUAUUCGUACAUCAGAUCUCAAAACCGGUUUACCAUCAGCAGGCAAACGCUUUUGUUUCGAUCGAAACUUCGAACUAUUAUAGCAAGAUGUCCCAUAUAUCGACGAAAUUGAUGACAAAUUUAUGAGAUACGAUAAGACAAAGGAAACGAUUUUAUAAUUGUAUAUUCCUAUUAAGAAAGUUUUUCAAAGUUAUGUGUAACAAAAAAAAAAAAA